rnacentral:rRNA from 1 species
UACCAGCACCCCGAGUGGUCGGGACGUUUAUUGGGCCUAAAGCAUCCGUAGCCGGUUCUACAAGUCUUCCGUUAAAUCCACCUGCUUAACAGAUGGGCUGCGGAAGAUACUAUGGAGCUAGGAGGCGGGAGAGGCAAGCGGUACUCGAUGGGUAGGGGUAAAAUCCGUUGAUCCAUUGAAGACCACCAGUGGCGAAGGCGGCUCACUGGCUCGGUACUGACGCUGAGGUGCGAAAGCGUGGGGAGCAAACAGG